GCUCAGUAACACGUGGAUAACAUGCCCUAAAGCGGGGGAUAAUCUCGGGAAAUUGAGGAUAAUACCCCAUAGAUCAUAGGAUCUGGAAUGACUUAUGGUCGAAAGUUCUGGCGCUUUAGGAUUGGUCUGCGGCCUAUCAGGUUGUAGUGGGUGUAACGGACCCACUAGCCGACGACGGGUAUGGGCCUUGAGAGAGGGAGCCCAGAGAUGGAUUCUGAGACACGAAUCCAGGCCCUACGGGGCGCAGCAGUCGCGAAAACUUCACACUGGAGGCAACUCCGACGAGGGAAUUCCUAGUGCUAGCACAUUAGUGUUAGCUUUUCUUAAGCGUAGAUAACUUAAAGAAUAAGGGCUGGGUAAGACGGGUGCCAGCCGCCGCGGUAAUACCCGCAGCCCAAGUGGUGGUCGAUUUUAUUGAGUCUAAAACGUUCGUAGCCGGUUUGGUAAAUCCUUGGGUAAAUCGAGAGGCUUAACCUUUCGAAUUCCGAGGAGACUGCCAAACUUGGGACCGGGAGAGGCGAGAGGUACUUCUGGGGUAGGGGUAAAAUCCUGUAAUCCUAGAAGGACCACCGGUGGCGAAGGCGUCUCGCUAGAACGGAUCCGACGGUGAGGGACGAAGCCCUGGGUCGCAAACGGGAUUAGAUACCCCGGUAGUCCAGGGUGUAAACGCUGCAGACUUGGUGUUGGGGGCCCUACGGGGGCGUUCAGUGCCGGAGAGAAGUUGUUAAGUCUGCUACUUGGGGAGUACGUCCGCAAGGAUGAAACUUAAAGGAAUUGGCGGGGGAGCAC
rnacentral:rRNA from 1 species